AACUUGUUUGUUUAUACUUCGAGAUCAUAUACGCCAAAAAUCGAAAAAAAUAAACAUUCAGAGAUCAAGUAAUGGGACAAAACUUUUCGACGGUUAUAAUGAAAAAUCACGAUUUAACGGUUAUUUUAACUCCGAUUUUGAUGAUUUUUUACAGCUACACUCCUUGACCCUAUAUGAAUACAAUGAACUAAUUCGAUUGUCAAUUUAAAAUAUAUAUUUUCUAACAAAAAC
rnacentral:lncRNA from 1 species